rnacentral:rRNA from 1 species
UACGUAGGGUGCGAGCGUUAAUCGGAAUUACUGGGCGUAAAGCGUGCGCAGGCGGCUCUUCAAGUCAGAUGUGAAAGCCCCGGGCUUAACCUGGGAAUGGCGUUUGAAACUGGAGGGCUGGAGUGCGGCAGAGGGAGGUGGAAUUCCACGUGUAGCAGUGAAAUGCGUAGAGAUGUGGAGGAACACCGAUGGCGAAGGCAGCCUCCUGGGCCAGCACUGACGCUCAUGCACGAAAGCGUCGGGAGCAAACAGG